CCAAACUUGGUUUUUACAUAUUUCUGAAUUGGUAUGACAAACUUGGAGUUUGGAACCCACUACAAAUUUAAAACAGCUUUGGUUAAGUGAACUUGUGUGAAUGAGCCAAAACUAAACUUGUUUUAUUUACAUAUAUAACCUGGUUGGCCAAGUCCACAAUUUAAACACCUAGCCAGACCCACGACAAGCUUGUUCAUGUGAGUCUAAAGUGAGCAGUGCCAUAUGACAAAAGAAUUUUCCCUCCACCCCUACCCAGAACGCUCCUAAAACCUGUUUCUUUGUGCUGAACCACCAUUUUUGUUGGAUUUAAACUUCCUCACUCUCAGUUGUCAGUUCUCACUUAUCUAGUUCUGGUGUUGUGAGUUACUCGUUUCGUUACUAGUUGUGAGUUUUGUUUAUGGUUUUGAUACCAAGACGAAGCAAAGAAGAAUUAAGGGAUUCCUGUAAAGAUCUUCUGAAGCAGGCGGUGGAGUUGAUGGGUUCAGAAAAGAAGUUGAAGGUCAAGUGGAAGAUAGUGGGCAUUGUAUUUAUUAUAUUAAUAAAUUGUCUUGAAAUGUGAA